UUGAACGCUGGCGGCAGGCCUAACACAUGCCAGUCGAGCGGAUGAAGGGAGCUUGCUCCUGGAUUCAGCGGCGGACGGGUGAGUAAUGCCUAGGAAUCUGCCUGGUAGUGGGGAUAACGUCCGGAAACGGGCGCUAAUACCGCAUACGUCCUGAGGGAGAAAGGGGGGGAUCUUCGGACCCUACGCUAAUCAAUGAGCCUAGGUCGGAUUAGCUAGUUGGUGGGGUAAAGGCCUACCAAGGCGACGAUCCGUAACUGGUCUGAGAGGAUGAUCAGUCACACUGGAACUGAGACACGGUCCAGACUCCUACGGGAGGCAGCAGUGGGGAAUAUUGGACAAUGGGCGAAAGCCUGAUCCAGCCAUGCCGCGUGUGCGAAGAAGGUCUUCGGAUUGUAAAGCACUUUAAGUUGGGAGGAAGGGCAGUAAGUUAAUACCUUGCUGUUUUGACGUUACCAACAGAAUAAGCACCGGCUAACUUCGUG
rnacentral:rRNA from 1 species